UAUGAAUAAGGAUCGGCUAACUCCGUGCCAGCAGCCGCGGUAAUACGGAGGAUCCGAGCGUUAUCCGGAUUUAUUGGGUUUAAAGGGAGCGUAGGUGGACUGGUAAGUCAGUUGUGAAAGUUUGCGGCUCAACCGUAAAAUUGCAGUUGAUACUGUCAGUCUUGAGUACAGUAGAGGUGGGCGGAAUUCGUGGUGUAGCGGUGAAAUGCUUAGAUAUCACGAAGAACUCCGAUUGCGAAGGCAGCUCACUGGACUGCAACUGACACUGAUGCUCGAAAGUGUGGGUAUCAAACAGGAUUAGAUACCCUGGUAGUCCACACAGUAAACGAUGAAUACUCGCUGUUUGCGAUAUACAGUAAGCGGCCAAGCGAAAGCAUUAAGUAUUCCACCUGGGGAGUACGCCGGCAACGGUGAAACUCAAAGGAAUUGACGGGGGCCCGCACAAGCGGAGGAACAUGUGGUUUAAUUCGAUGAUACGCGAGGAACCUUACCCGGGCUUAAAUUGCAGUGGAAUGAUGUGGAAACAUGUCAGUGAGCAAUCACCACUGUGAAGGUGCUGCAUGGUUGUCGUCAGCUCGUGCCGUGAGGUGUCGGCUUAAGUGCCAUAACGAGCGCAACCCUUAUCUUUAGUUACUAACAGGUUAUGCUGAGGACUCUAGAGAGACUGCCGUCGUAAGAUGUGAGGAAGGUGGGGAUGACGUCAAAUCAGCACGGCCCUUACGUCCGGGGCUACACACGUGUUACAAUGGGGGGUACAGAAGGCAGCUAGCGGGUGACCGUAUGCUAAUCCCAAAAGCCUCUCUCAGUUCGGAUCGAAGUCUGCAACCCGACUUCGUGAAGCUGGAUUCGCUAGUAAUCGCGCAUCAGCCACGGCGCGGUGAAUACGUUCCCGGGCCUUGUACACACCGCCCGUCAAGCCAUGGGAGCCGGGGGUACCUGAAGUACGUAACCGCAAGGAUCGUCCUAGGGUAAAACUGGUGACUGGGGCUAAGUCGUAACAAGGUAGCCGUACCGGAAGGUGCGGCUG
rnacentral:rRNA from 1 species